CACGUGGGGAACCUGCCCCAUAGUCUGGGAUACCACUUGGAAACAGGUGCUAAUACCGGAUAAGAAAGCAGAUCGCAUGAUCAGCUUUUAAAAGGCGGCGUAAGCUGUCGCUAUGGGAUGGCCCCGCGGUGCAUUAGCUAGUUGGUAAGGUAAAGGCUUACCAAGGCGAUGAUGCAUAGCCGAGUUGAGAGACUGAUCGGCCACAUUGGGACUGAGACACGGCCAAACUCCUACGGGAGGCAGCAGUU
rnacentral:rRNA from 1 species